AUUGAACGCUGGCGGCAGGCCUAACACAUGCAAGUCGAACGGCAGCACAGAAGAGCUUGCUCUUUGGGUGGCGAGUGGCGGACGGGUGAGUAAUGUCUGGGAAACUGCCCGAUGGAGGGGGAUAACUACUGGAAACGGUAGCUAAUACCGCAUAACGUCGCAAGACCAAAGUGGGGGACCUUCGGGCCUCACACCAUCGGAUGCGCCCAGAUGGGAUUAGCUAGUAGGUGGGGUAAUGGCUCACCUAGGCGACGAUCCCUAGCUGGUCUGAGAGGAUGACCAGCCACACUGGAACUGAGACACGGUCCAGACUCCUACGGGAGGCGGCAGUGGGGAAUAUUGCACAAUGGGCGCAAGCCUGAUGCAGCCAUGCCGCGUGUAUGAAGAAGGCCUUCGGGUUGUAAAGUACUUUCAGCGGGGAGGAAGGCGGUGAGGUUAAUAACCUCGCCGAUUGACGUUACCCGCAGAAGAAGCACCGGCUAACUCCGUGCCAGCCGCCGCAGUAA
rnacentral:rRNA from 1 species